GCACUGUUGGUUCAGGGGUAGAAUUCUUGCCUUCCAUGUGAGAGACUCAAGUUCCAUUCCUGGCCAGUGUA
rnacentral:tRNA from 1 species